GCUGCUAAUAAACUUUUGGAUUUAAUUUUGUGUUGAAUUGAUUUUGUGAAUAGUAGUUUUUGAAUAUUGAGCUUGGUGUACUUGGAUGCCAUAGAAUUUCUUAGUUUCAACUAAUAAGCUUUAACUCAAUGGUACUAGAGUUCUCAAGUUUGACCUCCAAUUUGGAGCCAAAAAAAGAUUUUAUCAGUUUCAAACCUGCAUUUUAGUGAAUAAGGAACAAGAACGAUUUCUUUCUGCUAUUGUUGCUGAGGACAACUUGGUAUCAUAAUAUUACACAAUGUAUUUGUUUGGGGUGUUUAUGCAUGGUUUGGUUGCAUGAAUAUAUCAAGAAUCUAAUUAGCUCCAGUAUUGAUAUCACAAGAACUUUUUGGUCAGAGUGGGUGUUGAGCACUCUAAAUUUUCCAUAAUUUAUGUGCUGAAUGUAGUAUGUACUCUUCUUAUAUAGGCAAUGGUUGCAAGAGGAGACCU
rnacentral:misc_RNA from 1 species